CGCAAGCCUGACGGAGCAAGACCGCGUGCGGGAUGACGGCCUAAUGGUUGUAAACCGCUUUUCUCUGGGAAGAUGAUGACGGUACCAGAGGAAUCAGCCUCGGCUAACUCCGUGCCAGCAGCCGCGGUAAUACGGAGGAGGCAAGCGUUAUCCGGAAUUAUUGGGCGUAAAGCGUCCGUAGGUGGUUAUUCAAGUCUGCUGUCAAAGCGUGGGGCUUAACUCCAUAGAGGCAGUGGAAACUGGAUGACUUGAGUGCGGUAGGGGUCGAGGGAAUUCCCAGUGUAGCGGUGAAAUGCGUAGAUAUUGGGAAGAACACCAGUGGCGAAAGCGCUCGACUGGGCCUGCACUGACACUGAGGGACGAAAGCUAAGGUAGCG
rnacentral:rRNA from 1 species